AACGAACGCUGGCGGCGUACUUAACACAUGCAAGUCGGACGAGAAAAGAGACUUCGGUCUCUGAGUAAAGUGGCGCACGGGUGCGUAACACGUAAGUAAUCUACCUCGAACUCUGGGAUAACUCUCCGAAAGGAGGGCUAACACUAGAUAGGGUCCCCGAGGUGUAGACUGCGGGGGGAAAACGGCCUCUGAUUUCAUGCUCGUGGUUUGAGAUGAGCUUGCGGCCCAUUAGCUUGNGGUAGGGUAAUGGCCUACCAAGGCGACGAUGGGUAGCUGGUCUGAGAGGAUGAUCAGCCACACUGGCACUGAGACACGGGCCAGACUCCUACGGGAGGCAGCAGUGGGAAUCGUUGCGCAAUGGGCGAAAGCCUGACGC
rnacentral:rRNA from 1 species